AUUGAACGCUGGCGGCAGGCUUAACACAUGCAAGUCGAGCGAGCGGCGGAAGGGUGAGUAAUGUCUGGGAAACUGCCUGAUGGAGGGGGAUAACUACUGGAAACGGUAGCUAAUACCGCAUACCAUCAGAUGUGCCCAGAUGGGAUUAGCUAGUAGGUGGGGUAAUGGCUCACCUAGGCGACGAUCCCUAGCUGGUCUGAGAGGAGUACCAGCCACACUGGAAAGGAGACACGGUCCAGACGCCUACGGGAGGCAGCAGUGGGGAAUAUUGCACAAUGGGCGAAAGCCUGAUGCAGCCAUGCCGCGGGGGGGAAUAAGGCCUUCGGGGUGGAAAGCACUUUCAGCGAGGAGGCGGUACUCGCAGAAGAAGCACCGGCUAACUCCGUGCCAGCAGCCGCGGUAAUUC
rnacentral:rRNA from 1 species